rnacentral:rRNA from 1 species
UACGAAGGGUGCAAGCGUUAAUCGGAAUUACUGGGCGUAAAGCGCGCGUAGGUGGUUCAGUAAGUUGGAAGUGAAAUCCCCGGGCUCAACCUGGGAACUGCUUUCAAAACUGCUGAGCUAGAGUACGGUAAAGGGUGGUGGAAUUUCCUGUGUAGCGGUGAAAUGCGUAGAUAUAGGAAGGAACACCAUUGGCGAAGGCGACCACUUGGACUGAUACUGACACUGAGGUGCGAAAGCGUGGGGAGCAAACAGG